rnacentral:rRNA from 1 species
UAACCUGCCUGGUAGCGGGGGGUAACUAUUGGAAACGAUAGCUAAUACCGCAUAACAGCAAAUGUUGCAUGACAUUUGCUUAAAAGAUGCAAUUGCAUCACUACCAGAUGGACCUGCGUUGUAUUAGCUAGUUGGUGGGGUAACGGCUCACCAAGGCGACGAUACAUAGCCGACCUGAGAGGGUGAUCGGCCACACUGGGACUGAGACACGGCCCAG